GAUGAACGCUGGCGGCGUGCCUGAUACAUGCAAGUCGAGCGAACAGACGAGGAGCUUGCUCCUCUGACGUUAGCGGCGGACGGGUGAGUAACACGUGGAUAACCUACCUAUCAGACUGGGAUAACUUCGGGAAACCGGAGCUAAUACCGGAUAAUAUAUUGAACCGCAUGGUUCAAUAGUGAAAGACGGUUUGCUGGGACUUAUAGAUGGAUUCGCGCCGCGUUAGCUAGGUGGUAAGGUAACGGCUUACCAAGGCAACGAUGCGUAGCCGACCUGAGAGGGUGAUCGGCCACACUGGAACGGAGACACGGUCCAGACUCCUACGAGAGGCAGCAGUAGGGAAUCUUCCGCAAUGGGCGAAAGCCUGACGGAGCAACGCCGCGUGAGUGAUGAAGGUCUUCGGAUCGUAAAACUCUGUUAUUAGGGAAGAACAAAUGUGUAAGUAACUAUGCACGUCUUGACGGUACCUAAUCAGAAAGCCACGGCUAACUACGUG
rnacentral:rRNA from 1 species